CAGCACAUAUACUAAAAAUGGAUCGAUACAGAGAAAGAUUUGCAUGGCCCCUGCGAAAAGAGAUGACACGCAAAUCCGUGAAGCGCUCGUUUAUUUU
rnacentral:snRNA from 8 species